rnacentral:rRNA from 1 species
GAUGGAUAGGGGUUCUGAGAGGAAGGUCCCCCACAUUGGAACUGAGACACGGUCCAAACUCCUACGGGAGGCAGCAGUGAGGAAUAUUGGUCAAUGGGCGAGAGCCUGAACCAGCCAAGUAGCGUGCAGGAUGACGGCCCUAUGGGUUGUAAACUGCUUUUAUAAGGGAAUAAAGUGAGUCUCGUGAGACUUUUUGCAUGUACCUUAUGAAUAAGGACCGGCUAAUUCCGUGCCAGCAGCCGCGGUAAUACGGAAGGUCCGGGCGUUAUCCGGAUUUAUUGGGUUUAAAGGGAGCGUAGGCCGGAGAUUAAGCGUGUUGUGAAAUGUAGACGCUCAACGUCUGCACUGCAGCGCGAACUGGUUUCCUUGAGUACGCACAAAGUGGGCGGAAUUCGUGGUGUAGCGGUGAAAUGCUUAGAUAUCACGAAGAACUCCGAUUGCGAAGGCAGCUCACUGGAGCGCAACUGACGCUGAAGCUCGAAAGUGCGGGUAUCGAACAGGAUUAGAUACCCUGGUAGUCCGCACGGUAAACGAUGGAUGCCCGCUGUUGGUCUGAAUAGGUCAGCGGCCAAGCGAAAGCAUUAAGCAUCCCACCUGGGGAGUACGCCGGCAACGGUGAAACUCAAAGGAAUUGACGGGGGCCCGCACAAGCGGAGGAACAUGUGGUUUAAUUCGAUGAUACGCGAGGAACCUUACCCGGGCUUGAAUUGCAGAGGAAGGAUUUGGAGACAAUGACGCCCUUCGGGGUCUCUGUGAAGGUGCUGCAUGGUUGUCGUCAGCUCGUGCCGUGAGGUGUCGGCUUAAGUGCCAUAACGAGCGCAACCCCUCUCCUUAGUUGCCAUCAGGUCAAGCUGGGCACUCUGGGGACACUGCCACCGUAAGGUGUGAGGAAGGUGGGGAUGACGUCAAAUCAGCACGGCCCUUACGUCCGGGGCUACACACGUGUUACAAUGGCAGGUACAGAGAGAUGGUCCCUUGCAAAACGGAUCAAAUCCUUAAAGCCUGUCUCAGUUCGGACUGGGGUCUGCAACCCGACCCCACGAAGCUGGAUUCGCUAGUAAUCGCGCAUCAGCCAUGGCGCGGUGAAUACGUUCCCGGGCCUUGUACACACCGCCCGUCAAGCCAUGAAAGCCGGGGGCGCCUAAAGUCCGUGACCGUAAGGAGCGGCCUAGGGCGAAACUGGUAAUUGGGGCUAAGUCGUAACAAGGUAGCCGUACCGGAAGGUGCGGCUG